CAUUCUAUCAUGCUAAUGCUUUACAACUCAUAAUAAAGCCAAGAAAAAAAUACAGUGUGUGUGUUCAUUGUAAGAACCUGUUUAUAAUUAUAAAUAUUUAUAAAAAUAAAUAUAGGGUGAAAGUUGAAUUUAGAAUAAAAGGGAGGGGCGUUCAAUAAAAAGAAAACCUAUUUUCUUUAGUUUUCUGUUGAACUUUCUAAACAACAAAGUUAUUUCCUGAAGAAAGCUUCUCUCUCUAGAAAACCUCAUUCCCCUUCUCUGCCUUCUCUCUAUCUUUUCUCUCAAUUGAACCGUUAGAAUUUCGAUUCGUAGGCGCCUAAACGAUCCUAACGUCGAGAACUUCAAUUGGCACCGAUCGAUUUCAGGAUUCCUGGCUGUAAGUUGCUCUUCACUGUUCUUCGGUGUUUUGGAACCCUAGACCAUGCAAUCUGCUGUUGCAUGUGUCUUCUUUUUUUUUCUUCCAAUCCCUGUCAAAUUCUAACUCUAAGAGUUGUUCUUUAUCACCGCAUUGCGGGUUGUAGGGUGCUGUCUAGAUUAUUCGCGUGGGGGGGUACUGUAGCUGCGGGUCUUUGAGCUGAGAAAAGAAAUUUCAAGGUAAGGGGAGCUAUUUAGUAUGUUUAAUUGUGUGUGUGAUGAAUGAUAUGUUUCUUGCUAUUCCUUUCUAGUCAUAUGGGUAUUGAUUAUUUGAGUACGAAAUAAUUGUUAAAUUGAUGUUGAAUUAUCUUGGGUAAUUGAUUAUAUUAUGAUAUACUAGAUUCUG
rnacentral:lncRNA from 1 species